rnacentral:piRNA from 1 species
AAUUCCUUGGACCGCGGCGACGA